rnacentral:rRNA from 1 species
AACGCUGGCGGCGUGCCUAACACAUGCAAGUCGAACGGAGAUAUCAAUGAAGCUUGCGAUUUGAUAUUUUAGUGGCGGACGGGUGAGUAACGCGUGGGUAAUCUGCCCAUAAGUGGGGAACAACAGUUGGAAACGACUGCUAAUACCGCAUACGCUACCGCAAGGUAGGAAAGGUGGCCUCUGAAUAUGCUGCCGCUUAUGGAUGAGCCCGCGUCUGAUUAGCUAGUUGGUGGGGUAAAGGCCUACCAAGGCGACGAUCAGUAGCCGGCCUGAGAGGGUGAACGGCCACACUGGGACUGAGACACGGCCCAGACUCCUACGGGAGGCAGCAGUGGGGAAUAUUGCGCAAUGGGGGAAACCCUGACGCAGCGACGCCGCGUGAGCGAUGAAGGCCUUAGGGUUGUAAAGCUCUGUUUUAAGGGACGAAUGUUACGGGGAGUAAUAUGCCCUGUAAAUGACGGUACCUUAAGAGGAAGCCCCGGCUAACUACGUGCCAGCAGCCGCGGUAAGACG